rnacentral:rRNA from 1 species
CUCUUCGGGGAUGAUUAAACCGGCGCACGGGUGAGUAACACGUGAGUGACCUGCCUUUUAGACUGGAACAACUUACCGAAAGGUGAGCUAAUGCCGGAUGAGUUAUAUAAGUGCAUGUUUAUAUAGGAAAAGUUGGGGAGACCUGACGCUGAAAGAUGGACUCGCGUCCCAUUAGCUAGUUGGUAGGGUAAUGGCCUACCAAGGCGACGAUGGGUAGCCGGCCUGAGAGGGUGGCCGGCCACACUGGGACUGAGACACGGCCCAGACUCCUACGGGAGGCAGCAGUGGGGAAUUUUGCGCAAUGCUCGUAAGAGUGACGCAGCGACGCCGCGUGAAUGACGAAGGCCUUCGGGUCGUAAAGUUCUUUCGACAGGGAAGAAAAUGCCUAUAAGUAACUGUGUAUGUAUUGACGGUACCUGUAUAAGCAGCCCCGGCUAACUCCGUGCCAGCAGCCGCGGUAAUACGGAGGGGGCGAGCGUUGUUCGGAGUGACUGGGCGUAAGGAGCACGUAGGCGGUGUUGUAAGUCAUUAGUCAAAGACUAGAGCUCAACUUUAGUAAGGCUAGUGAUACUAUAAUACUAGAGUAUCAGAGAGGAUUGCAGAAUUCCUGGUGUAGCGGUGAAAUGCGUAGAUAUCAGGAGGAAUACCGUUAGCGAAGGCGGCAAUCUGGCUGGAAACUGACGCUGAGGUGCGAAAGCGUGGGUAGCAAACAGGAUUAGAUACCCUGGUAGUCCACGCUGUAAACGAUGGAUGCUAGGUGUUGGGCUUUUAAGUUCAGUGCC